GUUCAGUUUUGAGUUUGCUGGAAAAUCACACUGAGACUGAAUACAUCACUCUUGCCUUGACCUGCAUCUCUCACAGUAAGGGGACGCUCGUUCAGUUUUCAACUCCAUUCAGAAUCUUAGAAUGUGAGAAUAACAGUGUAAAAGAACCUAUUGCAAA